GAUGAACGCUGGCGGCGUGCCUAAUACAUGCAAGUCGAGCGAACAGACGAGGAGCUUGCUCCUCUGACGUUAGCGGCGGACGGGUGAGUAACACGUGGAUAACCUACCUAUAAGACUGGGAUAACUUCGGGAAACCGGAGCUAAUACCGGAUAAUAUAUUGAACCGCAUGGUUCAAUAGUGAAAGACGGUUUUGCUGUCACUUAUAGAUGGAUCCGCGCCGCAUUAGCUAGUUGGUAAGGUAACGGCUUACCAAGGCAACGAUGCGUAGCCGACCUGAGAGGGUGAUCGGCGACACUGGAACUGAGACACGGUCCAGACUCCUACGGGAGGCAGCAGUAGGGAAUCUUCCGCAAUGGGCGGAAGCCUGACGGAGCAACGCCGCGUGAGUGAUGAAGGUCUUCGGAUCGUAAAACUCUGUUAUUAGGGAAGAACAAAUGUGUAAGUAACUAUGCACGUCUUGACGGUACCUAAUCAGAAAGCCACGGCUAACUACGUG
rnacentral:rRNA from 1 species